rnacentral:lncRNA from 1 species
CAUUUGUGCUUAUAUAUCCAGAUAUAUAUCAUCACUUAUUUAAGAGAGAGAGAUAACUCUGAGAACUCAGUUUUACUAAUAUUCACACAUUGUUGGCCAAAACCUUAGACUGCUCUAGCUGUGUCAACUCCUAGUCUACUGCAGGAGUUUGUUCCCUAAAAUUAAAAUUAUAAAGCCAGUCAUAUGCUGAAAAUUAUUCAAACCGCAAAUAAAAUUACAAGGCAAAUAUCACCAAAUUAUAUAAAAUUAUUUUCUUUGAUAUCAAAUUUCAUUUAAGCGCUGUAUUUAAUAUAGAAUAACAUAUCAGAACCUUCAGGGUACCCUGAGAAUUAGAACAAAUAAUUAUGCUUACCUUUUGACACAUACCAAGCAAAAUUUUGCAUGGUUUAGGAAGCAAACUUACAUUAUCCUUCUCGUUAGACAGGAAGAUAAAUACAGACAAGGAAUCUUCUGAAUCGGAACCUGAAGAUUUUUUCAUAACAGUUACAGAGACUCACGGUCCUAUAGUACUGUCUUUGGGAAAAUCAUGAGUUUCAAAAAUGCAGGUGAUCAACGGAUCUCUCAGAGCCUAUAAAGCUGGACCGUAUAAUCUUGACCAGUGAAUGUCAGGCUUCAGCUGGUUCAUAGCUCCGUGUGAAAAGACAAUCACAUCCUGUCUCACAGACACCCAAAGCUGCACAGGUGUGGCCGCAUUGCCCUCAAGAACUGGAAAUUACUAUGAUAAACUUGAACCAGAGAGGAUGGCUUCUCCUACAGUGGGAUUGCUAACUCCAGGGCCUGGCAGACCAGCAUUCAGACACCUGUUUUACCUGCCCUGCUGCGACCAAUGGGAAGUCAUUUGUCCCUUCUGUCCCCUUGCUUUCUAUGAGUCUCCUUGAGGUUUUGGGGCUGGGCUUGCGGUUUUUUGGUUUUUUUAUUGUUUGCUUGUUUUAAUGGAGAGGGAGUAAUUUGGAAAGCUGCGCCUUGGCCCCACAGUGACAGCUUUUGCUGUUACUCUGCACCGCACUGAACACAAUCAUGGGGGAAAGAGAUACUACUUUUCUUUGUCCUCUGACAUUUUAUUUCUUUAGCUAUGACGGACUUGAUAGAAACCCUGUGUUUUCCAAACUCCUUUAAAGACAGCAAAUUACAGUAACUUAGGAAAACAGUAAAAUCAAAACAUUUUUAGUCAGCUAGAACAAGAUAUCACAGGGGAAAAAAGGAUUUACACAAAAAAUGUGUCUGUCUCACACUGCAAUCUCUCUUGUCUGUAAAUGCACCUUUGCUCAAUUAUUUUUGUUUCUGAGGUGGCAAAGAGAUUUUAUUCUAUAUUCUUCCUUUAAUGUGGCUUCCAUGUGCCUCAAGAAAGAAAAGAGACAAUUUUGGAGUUUUUCAGGAGACUUAUUUGAGAAGAAAUACAGUGAAAUGUCUGUGUUAAUAUUGGCAUGUGGGGGUUAUAAGUGCAUGUUCAUUACCAGUGAAAGUGAAAUGUAUUAGCCUUUUUUUCUGCAGGUGACAUCUCAGGUGAGUUUAAUUACUUCAGAAGGGUUUUACUUUAUUCCGGUAAAUGUCUGUAAGACCAGAUAGCACCAGAAUGACAAAAGUAACUCAUGCUGACAUUUUAUAAGGUGUCUGAUGGGGAAACACAGUGUGCAAGAGUCUUUUAAAUGAUGCUUUUUUUAACUUCUACAUUUCUA